UACGUAGGGGGCAAGCGUUGUCCGGAUUUAUUGGGCGUAAAGAGCGUGUAGGCGGCCAAGCAGGUCCGCUGUGAAAACUCGAGGCUCAACCUCGAGACGUCGGUUGAAACCAUCUGGCUAGAGUCCGGAAGAGGAGUGUGGAAUUCCCGGUGUAGCGGUGAAAUGCGCAGAUAUCGGGAAGAACACCCGUGGCGAAGGCGGCACUCUGGGACGGUACUGACGCUGAGACGCGAAAGCGUGGGGAGCGAACAGG
rnacentral:rRNA from 1 species